rnacentral:rRNA from 1 species
GACGAACGCUGGCGGCGUGCUUAACACAUGCAAGUCGAACGGAAAGGCCCUGCUUUUGUGGGGUGCUCGAGUGGCGAACGGGUGAGUAACACGUGAGUAACCUGCCCUUGACUUUGGGAUAACUUCAGGAAACUGGGGCUAAUACCGGAUAGGAGCUCCUGCUGCAUGGUGGGGGUUGGAAAGUUUCGGCGGUUGGGGAUGGACUCGCGGCUUAUCAGCUUGUUGGUGGGGUAGUGGCUUACCAAGGCUUUGACGGGUAGCCGGCCUGGGAGGGUGACCGGGCACAUUGGGACUGAGGUACGGAGCAGACUCCUACGGGAGGCAGCAGUGGGAAAUAUUGCACAAUGGGCGGAAGCCGGAUGCAGCAACGCCGCGUGCGGGAUGACGGCCUUCGGGUUAUAAACCGCUUUCGCCUGUGACGAAGCGUGAGUGACGGUAAUGGAUAAAGAAGCACCGGCUAACUACGUG